GAGCUAAGUUUACAGAUGGUUCUGUAGGAGACCUGCAAAGUCUUUCAAUUAUAGGGUUCGAUUCCUUCUUAGCUCU
rnacentral:tRNA from 1 species